UACAAAAAUGUGUCAAAUCUUACAUUACAGGGGUUUUCAAGGUUUUUUUGGUUGAUUUCCGAGAGAGAAAUCAAGAGAAAACGAGAGAAAUUUAGAGAGGAAAUGUGCAAAAGAGAAGGAUAUCUAACUUACAGCACGCAUUCAGUGGGGAGUCUCAUUCGUGCGGCUGAGCUAAAGCAGAUUAGGAUAUACGGGCCCGUGCUAAUAAUUUAGAAUUAGAAAAAAAAUAUUUUAUUACAUUUAUGUCCUUUACAUUAUUAUCUUAAUGUCCGUGCAUAAAAUUUCCCAUAGUUGUUGGGUCGUUCCCACCUUUUUUUGGGCGUAGCAAAGAGUGUUUUAGGUCAAUUGUAUUUAUCUCGAAUCGGAUGAUACUAAUACAUUGUGAAAACGAUUCAAAAUUAAAUGGAAAUUAAUGAACAAAUCGUAAAACAAACCAACUAAUAAAUCGUGGUAAACCCCGUAACGAGGAAAGCUGCCAAACUCUUCUUCUUCUUAUUUGAACUAAGGUGACUUUUGGAACCUGCAACAGCCAACGCGUCUGUCCAAAAUCAACCCGGUCUAUUUUCGUUUUGUGGAAAAAUAUGAAAAAUCAUGUCGUUGACUUUGUUAGACAAUGCAAUAAACCGAUGAUGUGCUGUCUCAUUUCGCCAGGAUGUCCAUUCGCUGAUGCUCCCGGAAGCCAUUUUCACCGACCAGUAGACGCCACACGAUGAGUCACCCGUAACCAUUUAUCCCGUCGGCACAUACGGUGAAUACGUUAGCAACCCAUCCACCCAUAAAAAUGUAUGAAAGACGGCCCAUUAUUAGAACCGCUGGCACGCGCACGCCGGGGCACAUAUCCGUGUAUACGUAACGUAGAUGAAGUCCUCGUAGGUGCGUGUGUCUCCAAGGUUGCGCCACACCCGGAGGGAAAUUCAAAACCGUCUAGGACAGCCCUCUCGAAAAACGCAAUCACAUACAAACACGCACACACAUUUAAGUUUGCUGGAAGAAAACAACAACGAUAGACAGUUCCUCCAGUCCAUCAAGAAACCCCUACAUCCACAGACUCGGAUCCCCCGUUUGGAAGUACUGCAACUUACUGAGAAUUUGUGGCAGAAAGUAAGAGUGACUGUGCAUCGAAAGGAGAUUGUGCAUCGAAAUCGAAUCGAACAAUAACAGCAGCAGCAGCAACAGCAGCAAAAAUGCGCUUGCAAUCGCCUGCAUUCUUUUACCGCCGAAAAACUCUACCACAAGAAUUAAGACGUUAAGUGAACUUCCUCCUCCCAUUCCGUAAU